AGACAGAGACCAAUAGCUAUCAUGACUGGCACCUACCCUGCAUUUACUUGUCAGGGCUUCAGCACUCCCAGGGACUAUCGGAAAUCCUCAUUGUCCUUCUAUCACUUCUGCCAGCACCAGACUGGGGAAAAAUAUCGGCCUGGGCAUUUGUAAUCACAGCGGCCCAGUGGGAAGGGGGUGCGACCACAGGGGGGCUGUUGUGUAAUUACCAUGACGAGCAUGCCCCCCUCAAAGUUAGCAUGUUGGAUAAAUGCUCUUCCAAGGCAGCCUAACA